rnacentral:rRNA from 1 species
GAUGAACGCUGGCGGCGUGCCUAAUACAUGCAAGUAGAACGCUGAAGCUUGGUGCUUGCACCGAGCGGGUGAGUUGCGAACGGGUGAGUAACGCGUAGGUAGCCUGCCUCUUAGCGGGGGAUAACUAUUGGAAACGAUAGCUAAUACCGCAUAACAGUCGACAUUGCAUGAUGUUGAUUUGAAAGGUGCAAUUGCAUCACUAAGAGAUGGACCUGCGUUGUAUUAGCUAGUUGGUGAGGUAACGGCUCACCAAGGCAACGAUACAUAGCCGACCUGAGAGGGUGAUCGGCCACACUGGGACUGAGACACGGCCCAGACUCCUACGGGAGGCAGCAGUAGGGAAUCUUCGGCAAUGGGGGCAACCCUGACCGAGCAACGCCGCGUGAGUGAAGAAGGUUUUCGGAUCGUAAAGCUCUGUUGUAAGAGAAGAACGAGUGUGAGAGUGGAAAGUUCACACUGUGACGGUAACUUACCAGAAAGGGACGGCUAACUACGUGCCAGCAGCCGCGGUAAUACGUAGGUCCCGAGCGUUAUCCGGAUUUAUUGGGCGUAAAGCGAGCGCAGGCGGUUAGAUAAGUCUGAAGUUAAAGGCUGUGGCUUAACCAUAGUACGCUUUGGAAACUGUUUAACUUGAGUGCAGAAGGGGAGAGUGGAAUUCCAUGUGUAGCGGUGAAAUGCGUAGAUAUAUGGAGGAACACCGGUGGCGAAAGCGGCUCUCUGGUCUGUAACUGACGCUGAGGCUCGAAAGCGUGGGGAGCAAACAGG